rnacentral:tRNA from 1 species
UGCUUCAUAGCUCAGUUGGUAGAGCACUGAACCGGCAUCGCAGAGGUCAUGGGUUCGAUUCCCGUUGAAGCUG